UGAGGUAGUAAGUUGUAUUGUUGUGGGGUAGGGAAUAUUUUACCCCAUUUUGGAGAUAACUAUACAACUUACUGCCUUCC
rnacentral:pre_miRNA from 1 species